rnacentral:rRNA from 1 species
AGCGAACGCUGGCGGCAGGCUUAACACAUGCAAGUCGAGCGGGCAUCCUUGUGGUGUCAGCGGCAGACGGGUGAGUAACGCGUGGGGACGUGCCCUUCGGUUCGGAAUAACUCAGGGAAACUUGAGCUAAUACCGGAUACGCCCUUUUGGGGAAAGGUUUACUGCCGAAGGAUCGGCCCGCGUCUGAUUAGCUAGUUGGUGAGGUUAUGGCUCACCAAGGCGACGAUCAGUAGCUGGUCUGAGAGGAUGAUCAGCCACACUGGGACUGAGACACGGCCCAGACUCCUACGGGAGGCAGCAGUGGGGAAUAUUGGACAAUGGGGGCAACCCUGAUCCAGCCAUGCCGCGUGAGUGAUGACGGCCUUAGGGUUGUAAAGCUCUUUUCUCCGGGACGAUAAUGACGGUACCGGAGGAAUAAGCCCCGGCUAACUUCGUG